rnacentral:rRNA from 1 species
CCACACCGUAAACGAUGAGUGUUAGGUGUCGGGGGUCAAACCUCGGUGCCGACGCAAACGCAUUAAACACUCCGCCUGGGGAGUACGUUCGCAAGAAUGAAACUCAAAGGAAUUGACGGGGACCCGCACAAGCAGCGGAGCAUGUGGUUUAAUUCGAAGCAACGCGAAGAACCUUACCAGGGCUUGACAUAUAGAUGACCGGUGUAGAGAUACACCCUUCUCUUCGGAGACAUGUAUACAGGUGGUGCAUGGUUGU